CUACGUAGGGUGCAAGGCGUUAAUCGGAAUUACGUGGGCGUGAAAGCGUGACGCAGGCGGUGAUGUAAGACAGAUGUGAAAUCCCCGGGCUCCAAGCCUGGGAACCUGCAUUUGUGAUGCUGCAUCGCUGGAGUGCGGCAGAGGGGGAUGGAAUUCCGCGUGUAGCAGUGAAAUGCGUAGAUAUGCGGAGGAACACCGAUGGCGAAGGCAAUCCCCUGGGCCUGCACUGACGCUCAUGCACGAAAGCGUGGG
rnacentral:rRNA from 1 species